GAUGAACGCUGGCGGCGUGCCUAACACAUGCAAGUCGAGCGAUUCUCUUCGGAGAAGAGCGGCGGACGGGUGAGUAACGCGUGGGUAACCUGCCCUGUACACACGGAUAACAUACCGAAAGGUAUGCUAAUACGAGAUAAUAUGCUUUUAUCGCAUGGUAGAAGUAUCAAAGCUCCGGCGGUACAGGAUGGACCUGCGUCUGAUUAGCUAGUUGGUAAGGUAACGGCUUACCAAGGCGACGAUCAGUAGCCGACCUGAGAGGGUGAUCGGCCACAUUGGAACUGAGACACGGUCCAAACUCCUACGGGAGGCAGCAGUGGGGAAUAUUGCACAAUGGGCGAAAGCCUGAUGCAGCAACGCCGCGUGAGCGAUGAAGGCCUUCGGGUCGUAAAGCUCUGUCCUCAAGGAAGAUAAUGACGGUACUUGAGGAGGAAGCCCCGGCUAGCUAUGUGCCAGCCGCCGCGGUAA
rnacentral:rRNA from 1 species